ACGUAGCAGAAGCGGCUCAAAUGCUACGCGUCCUCACCACGCAGCUCCGUUAUCUUCCAUUCCUCCCAGUUUUUGCCUCUCUUGCGUUUGCUCUGAUGUUUUCAGUACACAGUAGCUGAGGUGGCAUGGAGCUCAUGUUGUCCCAUCAAGAGCGAAGCUCCAACAACAACCAAACACUUUCCCCGUCCUCUUCCCACCCUGCUUACAACCCGUUCCACUGCUCUCUCACUUUGUUCCCACGCUCCCUCGCUUCUUUCUUUUCACUUCUGCAUUGUCCCGUGCCCUCAGGUUAGAGGUUGUCUCUGUUUCCUACACCAAAGCCUGGAAAACAGACGAGAGGGACGAGAGGAGCGAGAGAGGGCCUGGCCGUGGGGCCUGUCCGCCUUCCUGCUUCAGCCUGGCUGGCUAACCGGUCUGAACCAGUUCUGACAUAGGUGAACCAGAGACGUGUCUUCUUUCGCCUCUGGACAAAAAAGACUCAUGGUGGCAUUCCAUCUACAAGCAGCAGGUCCGGGGGACACCCUGGGACCCGUUAGCACAGCCAUCUCUCAUGCUGUCUGACGGAGACUCCCCCGGCCAGAGCCGGGUCCAGAGUCACCUCCAGGCUGGACGCCGACACAUCUGAUAACUCCGACUAGCUACAAUCUCCUCAUUUUGUCUCUGGCCCCUCCAGGCCCAGAGCUGACAAACAACCCCCCACCCCGGAAGAAGCCUGCAAGCCUCCACACCUUGGACAGAUUUGGCGAAAACGGAUCGUGCGAGCUUUUAGACUUGAGUGCGAUCUGCAACAGUGUCCACUCCGUCUACAUUCCUGAUUCUCAAAGCUCCAAAUCUACGACAGCAGACACGUUUCAAGCUGGUGCAGCAGGUGUUAUUGAUUUGCACUUUUUCUGUCCCAUUUUUGCUAUGAAGACAUCGAAAUCUGGCCUUGCUCCACGCUCACAGCACGUACGGAGACGGCCACGAAAAGAUGCCAUCAGUCGGGUCCAUGUUCUCAAAAUCCCACCGUUAAAAACACACACAGAUGAUAUUGUAGAGCUCUCUAAUGCUCAACAUCAGACUAGCAUAAAAUUCUAAUUUCUAAUAAACAAUUGAAUUAAAAGAUAAGAACCUGUGGAGGUUAGAAAUGUUAACAUUAGUCCAGGUAUUACGGUAACACCUAUGUAAUUUACUCAACAGUGAUGGAUUACCACUGUCAAUAAAAUGCUUCAAAAGCU